UGUCUGUUGUUGUUGUUGUUGUUGUUCCUUUGCUUGUUCUCUCUCUUUUUCUCGUUCUUCUUCAUCUUGGAGGAGAAGAGAGAGUGUGAGUGGGGUGGGGGAGAAGAGAGAAGAAAGAGAAGAGGUGAGGAUAUUGAUCUCAUUCUCGACUUUGUCGAGUUUUUUUUUGAAUUUUUCCAAAAAAUUAGCAAG
rnacentral:ribozyme from 13 species